AGCUUACCAGGUCAAAGGUGGCAGCCCUGAGCUCUUUAUUGCAGUUAUCUGGCCGUUUGCAGCUCGUAAUGGCACAGGUUGGUUACUUAAAUAGUAAAAGAAAUUUGGCAGUCCAGUACAUGUUCUCACACGAACCCUUCUCUGUUCUUACUUUUCAGAUCGAGAAGGCUGAUAAUAGGAAAAGCCCCGCACUAACACUCGAGGGACGGAUGGAUGAAAGUGAGGAUGAUGAGGUAGAUGAAGUUAUGUAUGGCAUAGAUGAAGAAUCUCAAACAAGCAGUGACGGAGAUGACUAGGAGUAUGACCAUCUUUAUUGCUGAGCACUUGCAUAAGGGUUUUCUUCUCUCUCUCUCUCUCUCUCACACACACACACACACACAAUGUUUUUUAGAUUCUGUUUGAUCUUUCUGCUUAUGCUUGACUGUAGUCACCAAGUGAAAUUGGCAUUUUAUAUUGGCCUCACAUUUGAAACUGAAAAUAAGCCAGAUUUGAGAUUUGCAUUUGUGAUAUGCUGACUAGAUACGAGAUCUCUGAUUAACAUAUAUGCAAGAUCUGCCUAAGGAACAAUAUACAGGGUAAGAAAUUAUAGAUUCAAACAUAUAAAUAAAAAAGGAAGAAGAAAAUAAAG
rnacentral:lncRNA from 1 species